CUUUUCGAGGUAGGAGUCGACUCCUGUGAGGUAUGGUGCUGGGUGCAGAUGCAGUGUGGCUCUGGAUAGCACCUUAUGGACAGUUGUGUCCCCAAGGAAGGAUGAGAAUAGCUACUGAAGUCCUAAAGAGCAAGCCUAACUCAAGCCAUUGGCACACAGGCAUUAGACAGAAAGCUGGAAGUUGAAAUGGUGGAGUCCAACUUGCCUGGACCAGCUUAAUGGUUCUGCUCCUGGUAACGUUUUUAUCCAUGGAUGACUUGCUUGGGUAAGGACAUGAAGACAGUUCCUGUCAUACCUUUUAAAGGUACAUGUUUUAUUGAUGUUAACGUUAAUUGAUUGAGCUACUGUUAGUGAUGAUUUUAAAAUUAAAGCAGAUGGGAAUCUCUCUGAGAAAGAAAAUGGAGAUUAAUCUUAAACUGAAACAGUAGUUGGGAAAUCUUUUAGAAAUCCACCUAUUACUACCUAUUGGUAAAGGAGAUUAAAUUUCUACAGGUAUGGAGAGUCGGCUUGACUACACUGUGUGGAGCAAGUUUUAAAGAAGCAAAGGACUCAGAAUUCAUGAUUGAAGAAAUGCAGGCAGACCUGUUAUCCUAAACUAGGGUUUUUAAUGACCACAACAAGCAAGCAUGCAGCUUACUGCUUGAAAGGGUCUUGCCUCACCCAAGCUAGAGUGCAGUGGCCUUUGAAGCUUACUACAGCCUCAAACUUCUGGGCUCAAGUGAUCCUCAGCCUCCCAGUGGUCUUUGUAGACUGCCUGAUGGAGUCUCAUGGCACAAGAAGAUUAAAACAGUGUCUCCAAUUUUAAUAAAUUUUUGCAAUCCA
rnacentral:lncRNA from 10 species